UCCACGCUGAUGUACCGCACUUGGUGAGGACAGGUUCUCGCCGAUCUGUACUUGACCAAUAGCAAGAAGUGGUUCUAUUCUUGCUAAAAUAAAAAUACAACCAAACGUUGUAGUUUUAAGAGUUAAGAGGCCUUUGAAAAAGGAAAAGAAAAAGAAGAAACAGAAGAGUAAAGUGCAGAUGCGGGAAGAUAAAUGCCACCAAGUUCGUUGAUUUCAUUCUCUUUCCCUUUUAAUUUCUCUGAAUUCUCUCUCUAACAAUUUGUAAUCAGGUUUAUUUUGGAGAUUUUGGAUGGAAAUAGGCUGUGCAAUCUAGAAGGAGCCACUUGAGCUUGAAUUGUUGUUGUAGUUUGGCUAGUUUUGGAUGUGGUAGAUGAUAAAAUAUUUUUGAAGCUAGGCUUAUUUUUGUUUAAAAGGAGUAAUGGUUAACAUUGCGAAUUUGGAAAUAGGUUGCAAUCUGGAAGGCACCGUGAAAGUGUUUAAAAUGUUUAGGUGGCUUGUUUGGGAUGUAAUAGGUGACAAGACCUUUUGGAAGCUCAAGUUUGUUUUAAACGGUGGUUAUUUUGGAAAGGCACAAUUGCUGUUCAUGUAUUUUUGAAGUAAUGACUUCAACUUUUGGUCAUGCAUAGGUGCUGAAUUAUGAUUAAAUGUCACACGUCCCUUUUUCCAUCCUAGUUUAUGCUUAUUGCUUUUUUAGUUUCAAUUUUGCAUUUUAUUAUUUUUUAUUAAUCCGUGUAAUGAA